UUUUUUCCUUUUAUACUAAACCUCCUAAUAGAGUAGUAAACCACAUUGUGUGACUGUGUGAUUCUAAUCCUUAUGAAUAUUAUUUGGCAGUGAUAGUUGCCAACUUCUGUUAGGCGUUUCUAACUUUUCCCAUUUCCACUUGUUAUGAAGGACACUGAUUAUGUGAAGGAACUAAAGGAGGCUUUUAAGGUCUUUGACAAGGAUCAAAAUGGUUACAUUUCUGCUGUAGAGAAUUGAGGCCUUGCAUUGGAUUACAACACUUUUGGCAAGACAUCAGGCUGAGGCAAUCAUUGAAGAUUUCUUGUUCAUUUUUUACAUCAGUUCGUGCAUAUGUACUUACUGUACAUUGAUCACUCGUAUAGGUUUCCUGAAGUAAUAUCAAAUGCUAUGUUCACUGCCUCUGUUCUUGAAAAUAUUGCUGCUGAUGGCUUGCUAUAAGAGGCAUGUGCAUGUUAGCUUUCCUUUUCAGAUGGGGUGUUAAGAAGCCUCAAUUCAUGGAGAAUUCUGUCACGAUCUUGUUGAAUGCAGGUCUUGGGAUGGCCAUGUUCAGUCUCAGACUGUUCAUGGCCUUGUAGCUAAGAAUCAUAGCCUGUAGGACUAAACUCGCUGCAUACGGAUUGGUUGCGAGGUUCCUCACUGGCCCGGCAGUCAUGGCGAUCGCAUCUGUUGGGGUUGGCCUCAGAGGCACAAUCCUCAGCGUGUCCAUUGUUCAAGUGGGUCCAUUGCAUUUUCAGCUCAAUCUUUAAAACACACGCAAACACAUUUUCAGCCUCUUACGUAUAAUGUCAUAACAUGCAAUUUCUUCCAUUUUGUAUUAUGAAAUUGAUAUUAGGCCAUGUGCAGUAAGCUUUCGGAUCAAAUCGAAGCUAAGAAUAGGGUGUUAGUUGAUAGCAAAUUGAUAACCAGUAGAGGCACAUCCAUGGAGUUUUCACUUGGGAUUGUUGAGAAGCUAUUUGGCUGCGAGAAGGCAUUGGAUCUUGCUGUUAAUGAGGACUUUAAAUAGACAUAUAACUAUUAUGUUGGCAUUGUACUUUUGUGAAUGGAAAUGAAUGAUUAUAUAUGAUUGAAUGAAUGAAUGAUUGUGUUUGAUUGAAUGAA